GGUUGUUGAAAGACAUCAGAAUUCACUCUGGGCUAGAGGAUGUGCGAUGGGUGGUCUGUAACUCUUGGCUGACUGGCAGACUGACAGUAAUAUUGCUCUGCAAUAACAGUCACAGGCUGGCCAUGGGCGACACUGACUGUUCUCGGGUUCCUGUACUGCUAUUCUCACGUUGGAAUUGAAUGGGAGCAAACGUAUGCUGUGAAUUAGGAAUGACACAAAAACAAUGAUUUUUAAGACAGGUUGAUGGCUUUUCUACACUGGAUAUCCUAUCUGCAGAAGGAUGGGCUAGACCCAGUCUUUGGCCAGUGUGUUAAAACCAAAAGCUCAUUUAAUGGAUUCUGGAUUGUGAAUGCAGGAAUUGAACCAGAAACACUGAUGGGCUGUGGCUGAGGGUGGGGAGAAAUUAUGGAAGCAUUUUUUAUUAUGUUAUUUUUGUAAAACAGUAUCUCUGUGACUCUAUGUACAUUGGAAGCAUCUCAGAAUAGGUAUUUUAUAUAUGUUGAAGAUUGGUUUUGUUUCUUCCAAUGUUUUCCUGCCUAUUUUGAGAUAUUGAACAAAAAAAAGUUUUCCUACCUUGCAGAAUUCAAAAAGCCUGAUCUCUCACAGCCUCUGUCCAGGGGCAUACAGGGCUGUGCCCUGCACUUUAGGAAGGGCAUGAUGCUCAUCAGUUCUUCUUGAUUGCUUUCUGAUACAAGUUAGAACAUUUUUGCUACUCUCACUGACUGCAGUAGUUCAGCCUGAAGCUACUUUUCUACCUACUGUAGCAAAGUCUGCUUUUUCUCUUUAAUGUCUUCAUUUAAAACUUCACCUUUAAAACACUGGCCUUUUUUGGUAGUCUUAGGAAUGGUUUUAUUUGUUUCUUUAAAAACAGGGAGUAGGGAGGCAGGUCUUUUCUUAAGGAACAGCUUUUCUUUUUAAUCAAAUAUGACCUCACAGCCCCUUGGGCUUUAAGUGGUCUCUGCCUUGUGUUAGAGCUAAAGCAUAUAAUACUAAUUUUAUUACGGGGCAAAUCCCACCUUCAAGGGAACUGUUCAGUCUGCCUCCUGCAUUUUUCUGUUAUGAAGGGAGAUAACCCAGGUCUGGCUGAAUGGUAAAUCUGUUCAGUUCACUUCAUUCUCUGGUGUCCAGGCAAUCAGCUCCUGCAAUAUUAGUCACCCUAGGAGUAGCAUUUUAAGAACUUUAAAAAAAACCAGAAUGGUCCAAUACAGUGGCACCAAAUUAGCCUGAGCUCCAUGUCCUGUGCCCACAGCCAGACCUGUUACAGCAGCACCUUUGCCAAAAGACUAGGUUGCCCAGAGCUGGGAACAUCCUGCCUGCCUGCAAGCAUCAGGGCUGUGGGAGCGGUUCAGCACAUGCCGUUUUCUGAGGGAAGGGGAGACCCUACUCCUGGCUGGCACAAGGGGUGUCUCCCAAGCUGUUAUUUUUUAAACUGAUAUUGAAGAGCAGCCAGGAGACCUUCAGUCUUUCUAAAGUUAGACAUUCCCCCUAGGCCUGGCAAAAGGCCACCAGUCCUGGAGAGGGCUUCUUCCAAGAGCAGUCUCCUGUACCCAAAGAAGAAGGACUCCUGUCAAAACUUGUUCUGUGCCCCCUGGCAGCCAUUCCAGCCUGUUGGGACGCACAGUUAGCAUCCUACCAUCCAUCACUCCUGCAGCUUCAGCCAAGUCUGAUAUAGUUUAUCCCUUCAAAAAGAAAUUCAGUCCCUGAGACAGGCUUCAGCUUAGUGCCUGCAUUUCUGAUGUCUCUGCUGCUCAGAACUCUGGCAGCCGCCUUUUUCCCCUUCAUUUAUUCCUGAAGAAAUAAGGGCAGAGGCUUCAGCUCUCUACCCAUCCAGAGACGAAGCCCAUCUCUUGCCUUUUCAAAGCAGAAGCUCCAGCCCUUUAUGUUUAGGGAAAGAUUCCCCCACCCCCUGUGAGAAAGCUGUGAUUUCCCCUAGAAGUCAUUUGUAGGAGAUACCAUGGACUGUUGAAAAUAAGACUUACCUUGAAUGCUGCCUGGCCAGAGACAUGGCCCUCCUGAUUGACUUACUAUGAUUGAAGGAAUCCUCUCAGCCACAAAGUAUGUUGCUCUCAGCCUCUGAAUUUACUAAAAGGAUCUGAGACUGGCCUUUCAUUUUGGAGUAGAACUGAGCUAAGGGCAAGAACUUUCUCAAACUUAACUGUAACGUUGUAAUUAAGUGGAAUUAGCAUUGGAGCAAAAAGUCAUGAGUCUGUUCUUCAGUCUUAUCGAUUACUGUUAUUACAUGAAAAAAGGGGCUACUAAAGUGAUUAGAUUCCAAUUUGUAUGCAUGCAAAACUUCCUACUCCAAUAUGGAAAUGACCUUGAAGGUCAUCUAGAGUAUGCUUAUUUCUGAACUAAAAUUGUUUUAUAUUUUUUUUCAGUGCUUUAUACAUCUUUCAUAGUUUUGUAUCCUUUUCUGUUUCUAUAAAUAAAGCUACAACUGAC